AUUGAACGCUGGCGGCAGGCUUAACACAUGCAAGUCGAGCGGGGUGAUGGUUCUUGCACUAUCACUUAGCGGCGGACGGGUGAGUAAUGCUUAGGAAUCUGCCUAUUAGUGGGGGACAACAUCUCGAAAGGGACUCUAAUACCGCAUACUUCCUACGGUAGAAAGCAGGGGAUCACUUGUUACCCUGCGCCAAUAGAUGAGCCUAAGUCGGAUUAGCUAGUUGGUGGGGUAAAGGCCUACCAAGGCGACGAUCUGUAGCGGGUCUGAGAGGAUGAUCCGCCACACUGGGACUGAGACACGGCCCAGACUCCUACGGGAGGCAGCAGUGGGGAAUAUUGGACAAUGGGGGGGAACCCUGAUCCAGCCAUGCCGCGUGUGUGAAGAAGGCCUUAUGGUUGUAAAGCACUUUAAGCGAGGAGGAGGCUCUUUUGGUUAAUACCCAAGAUGAGUGGACGUUACUCGCAGAAUAAGCACCGGCUAACUCUGUGCCAGCAGCCGCCGUAA
rnacentral:rRNA from 1 species